rnacentral:rRNA from 1 species
UACGGGGGGAGCAAGCGUUGUUCGGAUUUACUGGGCGUAAAGGGCGCGUAGGCGGCGUGACAAGUCACUUGUGAAAUCUCCGGGCUUAACCCGGAGCGGCCAAGUGAUACUGUCGUGCUAGAGUGCGGAAGGGGCUACUGGAAUUCCCGGUGUAGCGGUGAAAUGCGUAGAUAUCGGGAGGAACAUCAGUGGCGAAGGCGGCUGCCUGGCCCAAUACUGACACUCAGGUGCGACAGCGUGGGGAGCAAACAGG